GUGACCAUCCUCCAACUGGAGUUUCCACGACAGCUGGGAGCCGUGCGAUACCUCCUCGCGUAUUGCUUUCAUAAAGAAUACGUAGGGACUGUCCUUAUUUCAACAUCCGCAAACAAACUUUUGGCGGCAUGGAAGACAAGAAGAGUCCAACCAGGCCGAAGCGUCAACCAAAGCCUUCGGCGGAAGAGGGAAAUUGGGACUGUAGCGUUUGCACAUACAAGAACACCGCGGAGGCUUUCAAGUGCAUGAUGUGCGAUGUAAGGAAAGGGACGUCAACACGGACAAUAACCCAAUAACCCUAUUUGACCAAGAAGGAGAG